AACGUAGGACGCGAGCGUUAUCCGGAGUUACUGGGCGUAAAGGGCGGGCAGGCGGGCUGGCAAGAUGGGCGUGAAAUCUCCCGGCUUAACCGGGAGGGGCCGCUCGUGACUGCGAGCCUAGAGGGCGACAGAGGAGCGUGGAAUUCCGGGUGGAGUGGUGAAAUGCGUAGAGAUCCGGAGGAACACCAGAGGCGAAAGCGGCGCUCUGGGUCGCGUCUGACGCUGAGCCGCGAAAGCCAGGGGAGCGAACGGG
rnacentral:rRNA from 1 species